CGGCGAGCGAAAAGGGAGGAGCCCAGCGCCGAAUCCCCGGCCUCCGGUCGCGGGAAAUGUGGCGUUUAGGAGUGAGCGUGCCGGGUUCGGAUGCGGCGGCAAGUCCCCCUGACCGGGGCCUGUCCGUAGCGGGUGCGAGGCCCAUAGCCGCCGCCUCCGUCUCGGAUGCGAUCUCCUUGGAGUCGGGUUGCUUGGGAGUGCAGCCCUAAUCGGGUGGUAAACUCCACCUAAGGCUAAAUACCGCCGUGAGACCGAUAGCAAACAAGUACCGUGAGGGAAAGUUGCAAAGAACUUUGAAGAGAGAGUUCAAGAGUACGUGAAACUGCUCAGAGGUAAACGGGUGGGCCCUCGAAAUCCUGUGGCGAGAGGAUUCAGUCUGGCCGUGCGGACGCCCAGUCGGAAAACCGAGCAGGGCUUCCCUGGACAGGGGCCGUUCGGCAGGGCGCCUUCUGUGCGGUCAGACGCAUUUGUCUCUCGUCCGAAGGACGCCGCAGCCGGUCUGGCAGUGCAAGCGCGACGGCCUGAAGGCCCGGAGCCGGCAGGUGGCCGGAGGCUCGCCUCGUGCGGGUUUUCGGUUGUUAGCCAUCCGGGCAGUGGCUCGUCGCCAGACCGAKGUGUCGCGAGUCCCUUCCGGGACUCCUCGUCUCCACCCCGAGUCGCGGGACAGGACGUGGCAAGGGAACCGCGUGUUCUGCGUCGCACUCGAGUGAGUGGGCGCGGGAGCGCGGGGCCCCGUUGGCUGCGACGGACCCGCGGGGGACCGGAGGCUUGCGGCGAGUAGGUCGGUCACCCACCCGACCCGUCUUGAAACACGGACCAAGGAGUCUAACAUGUGCGCGAGUCAAUGGGUCUUGACUAGGCCCAGGGGCGCAAUGAAAGCGAAGGACCGCCGAGCGCGGUCUGAGUGGGGAUCCCUGCCUCUCCGGGGCGGGGCGCACCCACGACCCGUCCUAUUCGGCUCGCCGAUUGGGCGGAGUCUGAGCGUACACGUUGGGACCCGAAAGAUGGUGAACUAUGCCCGGACAGGACGAGGCCAGAGGAAACUC
rnacentral:rRNA from 1 species